UGGGGAAUUUUGCACAAUGGGGGGAACCUUGAUGCAGCGACGCCGCGUGAGGGAUGGAGGCCUUCGGGUUGUGAACCUCUUUCGCUCGUGUGCAAGCCGCUAUUUGGGUAGUGGUGAGUGUAGCGGGUAAAGAAGCGCCGGCUAACUACGUGCCAGCAGCCGCGGUAAUACGUAGGGCGCGAGCGUUGUCCGGAUUUAUUGGGCGUAAAGCGAGCGCAGGCGGUCAAUUAAGUCUGAUGUGAAAGCCCCCGGCUCAACCGGGGAGGGUCAUUGGAAACUGGUUGACUUGAGUGCAGAAGAGGAGAGUGGAAUUCCAUGUGUAGCGGUGAAAUGCGUAGAUAUAUGGAGGAACACCAGGGGCGAAGGCGACUCUCUGGUCUGUAACUGACGCUGAGGCUCGAAAGCGUGGGUAGCAAACAGG
rnacentral:rRNA from 1 species